GACGAACGCUGGCGGCGUGCUUAACACAUGCAAGUCGAACGGUGAUGCUCCAGCUUGCUGGAGUGGAUCAGUGGCGAACGGGUGAGUAACACGUGAGCAACCUGCCCCAGACUCUGGAAUAAGCGCUGGAAACGGCGUCUAAUACUGGAUACGAAACUGGCCCGCAUGGGCAUGGUUUGGAAAGUUUUUCGGUUUGGGAUGGGCUCGCGGCCUAUCAGCUUGUUGGUGAGGUAAUGGCUCACCAAGGCGACGACGGGUAGCCGGCCUGAGAGGGCGACCGGCCACACUGGGACUGAGACACGGCCCAGACUCCUACGGGAGGCAGCAGUGGGGAAUAUUGCACAAUGGGCGAAAGCCUGAUGCAGCGACGCCGCGUGAGGGAUGACGGCCUUCGGGUUGUAAACCUCUUUCAGCAGGGAAGAAGCGAAAGUGACGGUACCUGCAGAAGAAGCACCGGCUAACUGCGUG
rnacentral:rRNA from 1 species